rnacentral:rRNA from 1 species
AACUGCUUUUAUGUGGGGAUAAAGUGAGCUACGUGUAGUUUAUUGCAGGUACCACAUGAAUAAGGACCGGCUAAUUCCGUGCCAGCAGCCGCGGUAAUACGGAAGGUCCAGGCGUUAUCCGGAUUUAUUGGGUUUAAAGGGAGCGUAGGCCGUGGAUUAAGCGUGUUGUGAAAUGUAGACGCUCAACGUCUGAAUUGCAGCGCGAACUGGUUCACUUGAGUAUGCACAACGUAGGCGGAAUUCGUCGUGUAGCGGUGAAAUGCUUAGAUAUGACGAAGAACUCCGAUUGCGAAGGCAGCUUACGGGAGCACAACUGACGCUGAAGCUCGAAGGUGCGGGUAUCAAACAGGAUUAGAUACCCUGGUAGUCC